GACGAACGCUGGCGGCGCGCUUAACACAUGCAAGUCGAACGGAAAGGCCUGCUUUCCCUUGUGGAUUGCGGGUACUCGAGUGGCGAACGGGUGAGUAACACGUGAGUGAUCUGCCCCCAACUUGGGUAUAAGCCUGGGAAACUGGGUCUAAUUCCCGAUAGGACUGCAGGGUGGUGCCUGUGGUGGAAAACGAUUUUCUAGUGGUUGGUGAUGAGCUCGCGGCCUAUCAGCUUGUUGGUGGGGUAAUGGCCUACCAAGGCGGCGACGGGUAGCCGGCCUGAGAGGGUGGACGGCCACAUUGGGACUGAGAUACGGCCCAGACUCCUACGGGAGGCAGCAGUGGGGAAUAUUGCACAAUGGGCGGAAGCCUGAUGCAGCGACGCCGCGUGGGGGAUGACGGCCUUCGGGUUGUAAACUCCUUUCGACCGCGAGGAAGCCACCUGGUUGGAAGGGUGGUGACGGUAGUGGUAGAAGAAGCACCGGCUAACUACGUG
rnacentral:rRNA from 1 species